GGCCAAAAGGCAGCGCAUGAAGAACCACAUGGCUCGGAAAGAUAGUCAUCCUGCAAUCACGAGAGCGAGAGAGAGAGAGAGAGCGAGCACGAGAACCUCCCGGUACGAUUGCAACAUUUGAAGCCCGACAAUGAAAAUGUUUUGUCUGGCUUAUAUCAAUAUGAUUUUAAAUUCUAUUAUUUUCUUGGUUCACCCAUUGUAAAUAUGUUCUUCUAAUUAAGGUAUUGUAUUACAUAAAUAUAUUGUUGACAUAUAUUGUAGUGCAUAAAUAUAUUGUUGACAUCAGAGCAAUCGCAAUGCCAACAAUAUAUUUAUGCACUACACAGCACUGCUAAUCAAGACCACCAGCACGCAGACAAGCUAAGCAAGGCAACAUUUAGAAUGUAGAAUGCCAGAAAGAUUCACCCUGUACAAAAGAUACAUGAGUUCCACAUCCACCAGUUCCCAUCAACUGGUAGUAAUUUUGAGAUUUCACAACUGGCACACAACCGAUUCACCUAACGUACAGGCUUUGCAAGGUAAUUAACAUUUUACGCCUCUGAAAGUCCACUACCGCAAACUCACGAGAUAAUCAUUUAGCGAUUUAUUGGUUAACUUCAUGCCCUGUAACACAUGCAGAGGAGCAAGAA
rnacentral:lncRNA from 1 species